UCUUAACCCUCUGUGCCACAGUAGGAACUCCUAGCUAUUAUUAUUUUUGUUGUGGCCAUUACUCUUUGGUGUGUGGCUUCUCAGUACCCAGGGAAAGUAUCAAGUGUUUCUGGGUACAGGUGUGGGGUAAAUAUUUACAGUGAAGGGCCUCAUUUAGAAGAAAAAUAAUGAGCCCUGUGUUAUCCCUAACUUCUACAACUGCCACAGCCCUUGCCUCCCCCAAGCCUGUUCUUGUCAAAAUCUUUUCUCCUUAGGGAUUCAUGACUCAGCACAUUUUUCUGAAAUUGCCAUUCAGAAGCUCUGACACAAAGUAAAACAAAACACAGGCUGUUCCUUCACAAAUCGAAGAGAAUCCACUUGGUAAACUGAAUUACCAUGGGAAUUGGAACUUCUGUUUUUUUUUUUUUUCCUUAGGAGCUCAUCACCCCAGCUGCUUGGAAGGCAGGACUAAAGUUGGGCAGAAAGCAAAACACUCCCAUUUGUUUAUUGAGCACUAAUUGGCUUCAGCCCAGGGCCCUUACCUCCUGCCUUCUCAGUUCUCCUUGGAGAUUGACCCUUGAGGGAAUGGAAUUCCCUGUCAGGUCUUCUGGGAUUCAAUUCCCCGUAGGUUUCAGUCAUAUUAGUUGCUUUUUACUACAUGCAUUCCUUGUCCUAAAGUGUCAUUUACUUUUAUUUUCUCUCCCUUCAAAAGUAGAAACAUAUAUUUUUAAAAAUUUUAUCAGUUUUCUCUGACAGCCGAAAGCCUUUGGUAAACAGCAUGUUUUCCAAAAAGAAGAAUUAGCUGUGAUCAAAGUGCUGAACUUCUGUAGGUCAACUUAAAACUGCAUAGCCACAGAGAUAUGCCUGUUUGGUUUUUUUUUUUUCCUUCCUGGCAGUGUACCUCAUGUGAUAAGGCAGGUUGUUAUUCCUCUAGCUUAGAUUUGAAAACUCCUGAACACCUGUUUUAAUAGAGCGUUUCCAAGACUAGCCCAGAUGACUCUAGCACCAUAACAACAGAGGAGAUCAGGUGGGACUGGUUCUAUCCAUGGACCAGGGUCAGCAGCUCGUUUGCAUAUGGUCGCUAAGGCUGCUGGGAGGAUGCCAUUUUGAAAAGUUCUGGGCAGGACCUCCUCCUGUGGGAUAUGCAUCUCCCCGAAGGUCAAACGUGAACAAGGCCCAGGUGGGGGAAUCAUUUGACAUCAGUGACAGUGCCAUGGUCCACAGAGUUGGGAUGAGCUCAGGUCCCCGGAAAGAACUGUAAAGUUUGACAUACCUCUCUACGAUAUGAUUUCCCUUGUCAACUUCUGUGUCCCCAAGGAACAGCGGAUACAAGCGAAGUGUAUAUCCCAAGAUUAUUCCUCAGUAAGCCAUGUGCAAGCUGUCUCCAUCUCAGUCUGUUUCCAGGAAACCUAGAUUAAGAGUUCAAGUUGACAUGUAACAGGUUCACCGUGUCAAGAAAUUCUUCCAAUUCUAUCCUUGGUUUAUUCUGAUGGCAAAUUUGUCUUGGGCAGCUCCC